CCUACGGGGAGCAGCAGUCGAGAAUCAUUCACAAUGGGGGAAACCCUGAUGGUGCGACGCCGCGUGGGGGAAUGAAGGUCUUCGGAUUGUAAACCCCUGUCAUGUGGGAGCAAAUUAAAAAGAUAGUACCACAAGAGGAAGAGACGGCUAACUCUGUGCCAGCAGCCGCGGUAAUACAGAGGUCUCAAGCGUUGUUCGGAAUCACUGGGCGUAAAGCGUGCGUAGGCUGUUUCGUAAGUCGUGUGUGAAAGGCGGGGGCUCAACCCGCGGACGGCACAUGAUACUGCGAGACUAGAGUAAUGGAGGGGGAAGCGGAAUGCACGGUGUAGCAGUGAAAUGCGUAGAUAUCGAGAGGAACACUCGUGGCGAAGGCGGGUUCCUGGACAUUAACUGACGCUGAGGCACGAAGGCCAGGGGAGCGAAAGGGAUUAGAUACCCGGGUAGUC
rnacentral:rRNA from 1 species